CAGCAGCCGCGGUAAUACGUAGGUCCCGAGCGUUGUCCGGAUUUAUUGGGCGUAAAGCGAGCGCAGGCGGUUAGAUAAGUCUGAAGUUAAAGGCUGUGGCUUAACCAUAGUACGCUUUGGAAACUGUUUAACUUGAGUGCAAGAGGGGAGAGUGGAAUUCCAUGUGUAGCGGUGAGAUGCGUAGAUAUAUGGAGGAACACCGGUGGCGAAAGCGGCUCUCUGGCUUGUAACUGACGCUGAGGCUCGAAAGCGUGGGGAGCAAACAGGAUUAGAGACCCCCGUAGUCCCUGUCUCUUAUACC
rnacentral:rRNA from 1 species